ensembl:lncRNA LINC01493 long intergenic non-protein coding RNA 1493
AGACAGCAUCCACUUUCUGUUCUUUAAUGAGUAGUCAUAAUAUGAGAAGCCCAAGCCACAUGGGGAGACCACAUGGAGAACUAACUUGCCUCUGUCAAUCCCAUAUGAUCUCCCUGCCAAGUGCCAGCAUCAAAUGCCAACCAUGCUCCAGUGUGACUCAGCACAGUGUUCACAGCCCAUGCUCUCAAGAAUCUCAGCUUAGGAGGAGGCAAAGAGGUAAAGCACAGGUCAACAUGCAGUGUUGGACUACAUAGAAAGUACAUAUCCUUCAUUAGUGCUGGCAAGACAGAUGAAUUAAUGCCUUUCAGGGGUUUCAGAGCAAGAUAGAAGAGGAGUACAUCUCAAAUGCUUUUGAAGUUACAUUUCCAAAGUGAGGUCCCAGCUGGAAGUAUAAAUGGUUCUCCAAUUUUGCAGAUGGAAUUUUAUCCAAUAUUCAGAUGUAUAAUCUGCUUCAAGUAUGUACACAGGGGAAGUAAUAAGAGUACUGUGAAUUCUCAACUGACCAUUUUCUGACACAUUAAAGAAAUAGCAAAGCACUUAUCUCUGAAGUCUCACUUUUUAAAUAUGUUACAAUGAAUUGUGAUCCUGUUUUAUGUAUCUGACUGACAGCACUGGGAAUUAAGUUCCUCAGCCAAUGAAAUAAUAAACCCAAUGCCACGAUAAAACCUACGGUAGAGACUGAUAAGGACUCCAGAUCCAGGCUGCUAAUACUCUUCAAAGUCAUUCAGCUGUGGCUACUACAUGAUGUCUGAGUGUUUCCACAAGGCACUGUUUUGGACAUUGGGAACAUCGAAGUAGAGUGAGCAUCAUCAUGAAUGGAAACACUUUCUCUGAAAAAAGACAUAAAACAAUUGAAAGUCAGCAGUGUCUUUCUUGCAAAAUAUUAUGAAGAUCAGGACAAUUAGAAUUAGGUGCUUUGGGAAUGGAAUUAAAUGAGCUGAUUCAUGUAAAGGGAUUUAACUGGGUGCCGGACCUGUCAUAAACUCUUAACGUGAACAGGAGAGUUACUGUAAAAACUGAGACAACAAAACAGCCGGAGGCAUGAAAAGAAAAAGAAUCCCGCAUGAAUAGCUUGCUAUAUGUAAUUUGGUUAGGAACAAUUCACAGGUUUUGACAGCUUUAUUAGAGUUCCAUUUUAGUAAGAUUCAGGUGAAAGUGAGGUCAUCACUUUAAAACAAAAAUCCUGAGAACAUACCCAGAUGGACUCACAUAAAUGAUGUAUACUAAUGUCGUCAAGUAAAUAUUUUAAAGAGUUA